rnacentral:rRNA from 1 species
UAUUGGACAAUGGGCGAAAGCCUGAUCCAGCAAUACCGCGUGUGUGAAGAAGGCCUUAGGGUUGUAAAGCACUUUCAAUUGGGAGGAAAACCUACCGGUCAAUACCCGGUAGCUUGACAUUACCUUUAGAAGAAGCACCGGCUAACUCCGUGCCAGCAGCCGCGGUAAUACGGAGGGUGCGAGCGUUAAUCGGAAUUACCGGGCGUAAAGCGUGCGUAGGCGGUUCGUUAAGUCAGAUGUGAAAGCCCUGGGCUCAACCUGGGAACUGCAUUUGAAACUGGCGGACUAGAGUUUAGUAGAGGGGAGUGGAAUUUCAGGUGUAGCGGUGAAAUGCGUAGAUAUCUGAAGGAACACCAGUGGCGAAGGCGACUCCCUGGACUAGAACUGACGCUGAGGCACGAAA